rnacentral:piRNA from 1 species
UCCUACCCUGUGAUAGGCUGGAUGCCUUGGU